GAACGCUGGCGGCAUGCUUUACACAUGCAAGUCGGACGGCAGCACAGAGAAGCUUGCUUCUUGGGUGGCGAGUGGCGAACGGGUGAGUAACAUAUCGGAACGUACCGAGUAGUGGGGGAUAACUGAUCGAAAGAUCAGCUAAUACCGCAUACGUCUUGAGAGAGAAAGCAGGGGACUUUCGGGCCUUGCGCUAUUCGAGCGGCCGAUAUCUGAUUAGCUGGUUGGUGGGGUAAAGGCCUACCAAGGCGACGAUCAGUAGCGGGUCUGAGAGGAUGAUCCGCCACACUGGGACUGAGACACGGCCCAGACUCCUACGGGAGGCAGCAGUGGGGAAUUUUGGACAAUGGGCGCAAGCCUGAUCCAGCCAUGCCGCGUGUCUGAAGAAGGCCUUCGGGUUGUAAAGGACUUUUGUCAGGGAAGAAAAGGCUGUUGCUAAUAUCAGCGGCUGAUGACGGUACCUGAAGAAUAAGCACCGGCUAACUAC
rnacentral:rRNA from 1 species